CUGGUUUGAUGUACCUGUCCCGCUGCAGCAAUGCAUGUGAGUGACGGAGUAUGUCUGCCAUCCUUCUAGAGAACUCAAGCUAUCCUUUACUGGACCGGUUUGGGUCAUCUAGAUCUUUUACUUUGAAAAAAUUAGAGUGUUUCAAGCAGGCGUUUUGCUAUGAAUACAUUAGCAUGGAAUAAUGAGUUAGGACUUCGGUUCUAUUUUGUUGGUUUCUAGGACUGAAGUAAUGAUUGAUAGGGAUAGUUGGGGGUGCUAGUAUUCAGCGGCCAGAGGUGAAAUUCUUGGAUUCGCUGAAGACUAACUUAUGCGAAAGCAUUC
rnacentral:rRNA from 1 species